ACGGAUUAUGAAACUUGGACCAGUAAUAGUUAUCAUUUAAUAUCAUAGAUCAUAGGCUGGUGGGACAACCUGAAGCAAGAAGAGAAGAACAAUGUGAAUGUCAUCUUUUCUUUUCAUUAUUUCAUCUCUUUAAUUAUCAUGUGAAGUCUCUGCUGGCAGUUUAUUACAAAUAUAAUUAUUGUUGCAGGUGCUGAAAUCUCUUUUUUUAAUUUAAAAAAGAUGAUAUCCCUUGGGCACUCAUCCAAGCUGAUGUAUCUUCCGUGGCCCAAACUGCAGUCAUACCCAUACAAGAUAUACUUCGGUUUGGGAAUGUUGUGCAGAUGAACAUUCCGGCAACUCUGAUCUGUUUUGAUUAGAUUGGGAGAAAAAAUCCACUUGAAAUUUUCCUGGUCCAGUUAAGAAUUUAAGCAUGGCUUAAUAGUGUUUGAGUGCCUGACUAAUAAUCUCUUAAUGCAAGGGCUUCAAGAGAAUACAGUUCAUGUGCUUGACUAAUAAUCUCUCAGAGCCAUGAGUUUUGAGGAACUGGAACACGCAGCCCAUCUGAUAAGAUUCUGUUGCUGGUCUUUGCUAAGCUGUUGUUUGCCUCUGUUGAUAAAUCUCUGAAGAAAGGGGGAAAUAGAAAAUUCAAGGUUUAUGAGGAGAUCCUGAUUCUUAUCUGAUGAAAGCUCGGUCUUAAGUAAAGGGUAGUGAACCUGAAGAGUGAGAAGAUUGGCAGAUUGACCGACGGCUUAUUCAUAUUGCAGGCCUCCUGCAGCAAGUCCAGCCAUUGCUACAUCUGCCAACCUGGAAGAAGUCACAACAGUUCAACAGCUAUAAGGUAAGGAUCCAACGCUUAUAUAAGUAGGGUGGAUCAAAACAGAUAACCAACAGACCCCAAGGAAUUGACCCGAAAACUUAAGUUGCUCACAUUGAUUGAGGUAUGAAUUGAACAAAAUCAUAGUUCAAAGAUCAUUUUUAGAAUAGCAUUGAAGUAGCAAAAGCAAUCAAAUGGGUACCUGUCAAGUUCUUAGCAUCAAGAUGCCCGCUAUAUAUCAGUUUCUCCAGCCUUUCAUCAAUGAGAUUGACAUUCUCUUUCACCAUCCACUGAAUAACCCAAAAUAAGAAGGCCAAAGAAAUAGGCAACUACCAUUGAAAGAGAACAUCAUCUAGUUAGGAAGCAACCAAAUGAUACAUAUCAUCAUAUUUUGAUGCAUUGUCAAAGUAAUGAGUACUUAAGAAAUGUGCCGCCACAUGUUUGGCUACCCUCUCCAGAUAGUCCCCCAAAAAACGACGAAAACCCUUGAAUUGCAGCUUGUAGAAGGCUGCCAGAAAAUUGACAGAACUCAGAAAUUCCAACAUCAAAUAUAAGAGUCUAGGACACUAUUAACGAAAUGCUACUGCGUAGCUUCGGUACGAAGAGCCCCCAGUCCUAUACAGACAGUUGAACAGGUGAAUAAAGAUGAGAAAUCUUCCCAAAUUUCUAAUAUAUGUUACCUCACUAGUUUUCUGAGGAGGAAUUAUCAGGUUUUCUGAAGAAGAGAAAAAAAAAUGGAAGCUACCCCUGGAAGUUGACCAGCAAGAAGACCCAAAAUCCUGUUGUUCCCACCACUGUGAAGAGAUAAGCUGCCUGUAUUACCGAAAGCCAUCAAACAUAUGAACAGCCCUCUGAUAGUUCAGAGGUAUAUUUCAAUCAAAACGAAGAAAGUGCCGCAUAAAUUUAUGCGAAUUUAUUGUACAUGCAUCAUUUCUGACGCUAGGAAUAGUCGAGAUUUUCUGCAUUUAUCAUUCCAAGAGAUGUAUGGUUAAUGAGAAAUUAAUGAGUCAAACAACCUAUUUGUUAAACAUUUCGACACAGAACUACGAUAUAUGUUCAAAGCA